ACCACACCUAUAUCUGAUGCAGAUUACUCUCCACUCUGUGCUGGCAAGUGAGUUGUGGGGAAGAGCCAAGGCAUUGUUCACUCUACCAGCCCAUCAGCUCCCCACCAGCUAUGCCAGAGGAGAAGAAGUGGGUCUGUUGAGGCUGCUCUAUAUGCCAUACCACUACCUGUGAUAGAUACAAGAAUCUUUGUCCAGGAGAAUGCAGCCUUUUAAAUUCUAAUGUACAAGCUGAAGGAGAAAAAUCAUUUACAAUUGGAAGGCAAAUGACUACUCCCUGACCUUGCUGAGCCCCACCCUGUCCAAUGGAAACCAAGAUAAUAGAGAGGUUAGGCAUCUUCUCUGCUGCUGGAGAAGGAUGACGAGGAGAACUGUGGCUGUGCCAAGGGCAUGUAUGAGCCUUCAGAGAGCCCUGCAACUACCAAUGCUGAGGAGCUGCUACUGCUACCCUUGGCCAUAUAUCCCGGGGAGACUGAGGACAACCACCGGACCCAGGAGGAAUGGCCUGCCUCAGAAGUGGAAGCGGAGGAACAGCCACGCCAGCUUACAGUUCACAGUUUGGUGGUCUUGUUGGAUUCCCCACACACCCUGCCUAGUGCUUCUGUAUAACCAGAUAAAGAAACAGCUGUGGCCAGGAACAUAUGUUUUCAUUUGUAUUUGGACAGAAGAUUGUGAACUUUUCUUUUGGAUGUGGAUCAUGAAUCUGUCACCUUGAAACAGACUUUGGGUAAUGUUCUCUAGGUUUGUCAUGUUUGGUACCAUUGUGUUCCUGGGAGAAGUGACUUGUGAUUGAUACUCAACUUGACCCAUUUCUGACAACAUUGUAUUAUCAAAAUUCCCACCAACUGAAGGAUCUGGAGCUUUGAGCUGGGAGAGCAGCAACUCCCUCUCCUUUGCCAUACCAAAGAGAGUGAUGCCAUUGAAGUUAUGAUUUUGUAGACUGUUUUAUGAACCAAAUGACAUCUCCCUUACCUUUCUACCACUAACUUGCCCCCAAAUGAGAUUUUACUACAUUAUGCUCCCAUACAAAGCAUGACAUAUGCUCAGAUUAACAACAGAACAAAGCAAAAGUGGAUGACAUCAGUUUUUAUUUCAAUCACAAUAAAAAGAACACAACAAAAGGCUUUGGUGUUUCUUGUAUAUACGAGCACUGAGUUUUAGAAUAAUGCAAACUAUUUCUGAUUUUUUUCCUAUAUAUUUUUUUUAAAUACUACCAUGCUUUUUGAUGGAUGAACACUAACUGGUAUUUUCUAUAGCACAUCACAUGCUAUGAGGUAUGAGUACCCACUGCUAAGUGGAUAAAAAAGCCUGUGCUGUGCAUUAGAACCACAAGUGACAGUGAAAUCAUGUACUCUCAGAAAAAAGUAGGGCAAGGAAAUGGAACAAAGUAAAUUCAUUUUUGCUACAGUACAAUUUAAAGCUGUGA